GCGAUCAUACCAGCACUAAUGCACCGGAUCCCAUCAGAACUCCGCAGUUAAGCGUGCUUGGGCGAGAGUUAACAACAAUACCCGGAACACUCACGAAGAGACGAGCGAGAUUGGCGGGAGGGUAGGAAAGAGAGGAAGGA